rnacentral:rRNA from 1 species
UAAGGAAUAUUGGUCAAUGGACGCAAGUCUGAACCAGCCAUGCCGCGUGGAGGAUUAAGGCCCUCUGGGUUGUAAACUCCUUUUAUCUGGGAAGAAAUGUACUUUUUCUUGAGUACUUGACGGUACCAGAGGAAUAAGCACCGGCUAACUCCGUGCCAGCAGCCGCGGUAAUACGGAGGGUGCAAGCGUUAUCCGGAUUCACUGGGUUUAAAGGGUGCGUAGGUGGGCAGGUAAGUCAGUGGUGAAAUCUCCGGGCUUAACCCGGAAACUGCCGUUGAUACUAUUUGUCUUGAAUAUUGUGGAGGUAAGCGGAAUAUGUCAUGUAGCGGUGAAAUGCUUAGAUAUGACAUAGAACACCAAUUGCGAAGGCAGCUUACUACACAAUCAUUGACGCUGAGGCACGAAAG